UGGACUGGGUGUUGACUACCCCAUGUCCUAUAGAACCUGCUGAAAUUUUCAGAGGUGAAAAAGAGUCAGAUGCUGAAUGGCAAAAGAGAGAGAGGGACAAUGCUUCCCUCAUCAUGUCGUAUGACAUUGAGCAUGCGAAAUGGUCUUCAGCCAACAAGAAUUGUUUGGCUGCGGUAAAGAACACGAUUGAGCCAACCAUAUUGGGCUCAAUCCCAGAGUAUGACACUGUCUCUAAGUACCUCGAAAGUAUAAAGAGCCAGUUUACUGGUUCUUCAAAGUUUUAUGCGACACAGCUGAUAAUGCAGCUUGUUACAGAGAGGUACCAUGGAGGUGGUGUAAAAGACCACAUUCUUAGGAUGAGCAACAUGGCUUCCAAAUUGAAGCAAAAAGAUUUGGGCAUCUCAGAUGACUUUCUGGUCCAUCUGGUUUUGUCCUCAUUGCCAAAGAACUUUGACAACCUUGUUGUCAACUACAAAAUAAGUACAGAGAAUUGGAAUAUUGAAGAGCUCAUCUCUAAUUGUGUGCAAGAGGAGGAAAGACACAAAGAGACCAAUGGUGACUCCAUUAACCUUGUCAAAGAUAACAAGGAAAAGAGCCACAGGUCACCCUCCUCAAAAGAAAAACAGCCUCAGCAUCUGCCUCAGAAACAACAGUUUACAGUUGAGACAAGAUCAGUGUCUACACUGCAAGAAGACAAGACAUUCCAAGAAAGAUCAUAUUGACUUCCUGACAGUGAUCAUGGCAAAGAAAGGGAUUCCGUUCAAUGAGGACUAUGCAAAGAAGUGAAAGAUCCAUUAGAGUUGCCAAUGGAGUUGAAGCAAAAGUUGAGGCUGUUGGAGAUCUUCGCCUAGAACUCGCGAAUGGCUUCACACUUUUACUUCCAGACGUUUUUAUGUCCCUUCUUUGCAAAGAAACUUGAUAAUAAGUGUAUCCAAAUUGGAUUUUGAUAGAUAUGAUUGCCAUUUUGGAAAUGGCAAAUGUGAACUAUGGUAUAAUAAUGAAUGUAUUGGUCUUAUGUUGCAAGAUCAGCUUUAUUUGUUA